GCGGGGGUAUACUGUAAAUAAAACUCUGGCAACUAAGCUGGCAGCUAAGCAAGCUGUCAAUGUCUCGACUCCAAAAUUUUCUUUUCAAGAGUGCUCCUAAAUAAAUACCAUCGACAGACUGAUGGAACCACAGCUGUCGACGGAGCAUGGCCGUGGAAACGAUCGUCAAGUACCUAAUCGGAAUCGGCCAUCCGCUGCCAAAACUCAACUAUGCAUUUGUGCAUGAGACUACGCUUUCCUCGGCGCUUUCUAUACGAUGUUCAACAUAGCUGAGGCGUUCCGGAAGCUGGAAAAUCAAAUCGAAAAGAGGAUACAACAUUUGUGACAAGCUCCGGAAAACAGAGUAACAAUGAAGUGCAUCACGAGAUGCAUCAACAGUUUCCCGCCACCGCCACAAAACGCGACCCAGAAGCGCAGAAUUCAACAAAAUACGCAAACCAGUUAAAAUUUCUUGCAAAAUGAUAAUAAAGAUAAUUGAAUAGAAACAAAAUAAUAAAUUUUUCAUAUCAUGAAUUUUAU